ACGGAAGGCAGCAGUGGGGAAUAUUGCACAAUGGGGGAAACCCUGAUGCAGCGACGCCGCGUGAGUGAAGAAGUUAUUCGUAAUGUAAAGCUCUAUCAGCAGGGAAGAAAAUGACGGUACCUGACUAAGAAGCCCCGGCUAACUACGUGCCAGCAGCCGCGGUAAUACGUAGGGGGCAAGCGUUAUCCGGAUUUACUGGGUGUAAAGGGAGCGUAGACGGCUUAGCAAGUCUGAUGUGAAAGGCAGGGGCUCAACUUCUGGACUGCAUUGGAAACUGUUAAGCUGGAGUGCCGGAGAGGUAAGCGGAAUUCCUAGUGUAGCGGUGAAAUGCGUAGAUAUUAGGAGGAACACCAGUGGCGAAGGCGGCUUACUGGACGGUAACUGACGUUGAGGCUCGAAAGCGUGGGGAGCAAACAGGAUUAGAUACCCUGGUA
rnacentral:rRNA from 1 species